GGGAACUAUUGGCUAUUGUGAUGGCUUUUAAAGAAUGGAGGUACUUAUUAGAAGGAGCUAGACACAAAAUCCUGGUUAUAACUGAUCAUGAGAAUCUCUCCUAUAUAGCAGAUGCUAAAAGGUUGUCCUCUCGUCAAGCCAGAUGGUCUUUAUUUUUUUCACGCUUUCAGUUCAUUAUCACAUAUAGGCCUGGAUACCGUAAUGUCAAGGCUGAUGCUAUCUCCAGACAAUACGAACCUUUGGAGUCGAUUGCCCCCGCUCCUAAACCCAUUGUACCUACAUCUAAGAUAAUAGCUGCUACCCG